AAUUCGAUUGAGUUUGAUCAUGGCUCAGGAUGAACGCUGGCGGUAUGCUUAACACAUGCAAGUCGAACGAAAGUCUUCGGAUUUUAGUGGCGGACGGGUGAGUAACGCGUGAGGAUCUGCCUAUAGGUUGGGGACAACAGAUGGAAACGUCUGCUAAUACCCAAUGUGCCGAGAGGUGAAAGCUUAAGUGCCUGUAGAUGAGCUCGCGUCCGAUUAGCUAGUUGGUAGGGUAAAGGCUUACCAAGGCGACGAUCGGUAGCUGGUCUGAGAGGAUGAUCAGCCACACUGGGACUGAGACACGGCCCAGACUCCUACGGGAGGCAGCAGUGGGGAAUUUUCCGCAAUGGGCGAAAGCCUGACGGAGCAAUACCGCGUGCGGGACGAAGGCUUUUGGGUCGUAAACCGCUUUUGUUAGGGAAGAACACAAUGACGGUACCUAACGAAUCAGCAUCGGCUAACUCCGUGCCAGCAGCCGCGGUAAUACGGAGGAUGCAAGCGUUAUCCGGAAUUAUUG
rnacentral:rRNA from 1 species